AACAUCAGUCUGUAUGGACUGACAGCACAGAGACCCACAUCGGUGUGUAUGGACUGACAGCACAGAGACCAGCAUUGGUGUGUAUGGACUGACAUAACAGUGUGAUAACACCAAUGUCAGUCUGUACCCACUGAUAUAACAUCAUAACACCAACAUCAGUGUGUAUGGACUGCUAUAAUGCUGUGAUAACACCAAUGUCAGUCUGUGCCCAUUGAUAUAACACCGUGAUAACACCAACAUCAGUGUGUAUGGACUGCUAUAAUGCUGUGAUAACACCAGUGUCAGUCUGUGCCCAUUGAUAUAACACCGUGAUAACACCAACAUCAGUGUGUAUGGACUGAUAUAACACCGUGAUACCACCAACGUCAGUCUGUAUGGACUGACAGCACAGAGACACCGACGUUGGUCUGUAAGGACUGACGUAACAGCAUGAAAGCACCAACAUCAGUCUGUUCUGACUGACAUAACACCACGAGGACACCAACAUCAGUCUGUUCCGACUGACACAACAGCAUGGCAGCACCAAUAUCGGCCUGUAUGGACUGCUGUAACACUGUGAUGGCCCCAAUGUCAGCCUGUUCUGACUGACAUAACACCGUGAUGACCCCAAUGUCAGCCUGUUCCGACUGACAUAACACCAUGAGGACCCCAAUGUCAGCCUGGUCCAACUGACACCCCAUGGCAGCACCAACACCAGGCUGUACUGACUGACAUAACACCAUGAGGACAGCAGCAUCAGGCUGUAUUGACUGACAUAACAGCAUGGCAGCACCAAUAUCGGCCUGUAUGGACUGUUGUAACACUGUGAUGGCCCCAAUGUCAGCCUGUACUGCCUGAUAUAACACCACGAUAACACUGACAUCAGCCUGUACUGCCUGAUAUAACACCAUAGCACUGACAUCAGCCUGUACUGCCUGAUAUAACACUGUGAUAACACUGACAUCAGCCUGUACUGCCUGAUAUAACACCGUGAUAACACUGACAUCAGCCUGUACUGCCUGAUAUAACACCGUGAUAACACUGACAUCAGCCUGUACUGCCUGAUAUAACACUGUGAUAACACUGACAUCAGCCUGUACUGCCUGAUAUAACACCAUAACACUGACAUCAGCCUGUACUGCCUGAUAUAACACCAUGAUAACACUGACAUCAGCCUGUACUGCCUGAUAUAACACCAUAACACUGACAUCAGCCUGUACUGCCUGAUAUAACACCAUGAUAACACUGACAUCAGCCUGUACUGCCUGAUAUAACACUG
rnacentral:lncRNA from 1 species